rnacentral:rRNA from 1 species
UACGUAGGGUGCGAGCGUUAAUCGGAAUUACUGGGCGUAAAGCGUGCGCAGGCGGUUCGCCAAGUCAGGUGUGAAAUCCCCGGGCUUAACCUGGGAAUUGCGCUUGAAACUAGCGGGCUUGAGUGUGGCAGAGGGGGGUGGAAUUCCACGUGUAGCAGUGAAAUGCGUAGAGAUGUGGAGGAACACCGAUGGCGAAGGCAGCCCCCUGGGCCGACACUGACGCUCAGGCACGAAAGCGUGGGGAGCAAACAGG